UACGGGGGGGGGCAAGCGUUGUUCGGAAUUACUGGGCGUAAAGGGUUUGUAGGUGGCUUGCUAAGUCAGACGUGAAAUCCCUCAGCUUAACUGAGGAACUGCGUCUGAGACUGGCAAGCUUGAGUGCAGGAGAGGAACGCGGAAUUCCAGGUGUAGCGGUGAAAUGCGUAGAUAUCUGGAGGAACACCGGUGGCGAAGGCGGGUCUCUGGGUAGUAACUGACGCUGAGGAACGAAAGCGUGGGUAGCGAACAGG
rnacentral:rRNA from 1 species